rnacentral:rRNA from 1 species
CAAUGACGCGGUGAAUACGUUCCCGGGCCUUGUACACACCGCCCGUCAAACCAUGGAAGUUGGGGGUACCUAAAGUACGUAACCGCAAGGAGCGUCCUAGGGUAAAACCGAUAACUGGGGCU